UUUAACCAUAUUACUAAGGA
rnacentral:rRNA from 1 species